rnacentral:tRNA from 1 species
GGAGUAGUACCCAAGUUGGUGAAGGGGCUUCCCUGCUAAGGUAGUAGGUCGGGUAACUGGCGCAUGAGUUCGAGUCUCAUCUACUCCGCCA